AGACGCGAGUAUUGGAAACUUUGACAGUAAAAAGCAGAGAGAGAAGAGUCGUGCAGCUGUCUCUCCCGAAAAUUUAUGUGUCUUUCCAAGAAAGUGAACGAAAAAAAAAAAAAUAAAGAAAAAGAGAAAGAGAAAGAAUCAUUGAGCUGUGGUUUACCAACUCAAAAAAUUAAUAAUAAUCGAGAAGCGCUUGGAUCUGUCUGUAAUUGAUCUGAUCUUGUUGAAUCAAUUAGGAAGAAGGAAAUGUCAACAGGGAAAACGGGAAGUAGGUCUCGAGUUAGUAAGGAGAAUGGAACGAAACUUGAAGAAGGUUUGAUUGUUUUCAAGUCUGAUAAGUUCGAUGCCGAUGCUUAUGUUCAGACCAAAUGCUCUCUCAACGACAAGGAAAUAAGGCAAUUAUGUUCGUAUCUUCUGGAUUUGAAGAAAGCUUCUGCUGAAGAAAUGCGUAAAAGUGUCUAUGCUAAUUAUGCUGCUUUUAUCCGCACUUCCAAAGAGAUAUCAGAUUUAGAGGGGGAGCUUUCAUCCAUCAGAAAUCUGCUGUCUACUCAGGCUACUUUAAUUCAUGGUUUAGCAGAGGGAGUUCACAUUGAUUCAAAGGUAGAAGCUCCUACAGUAAAUGGUUUCCUAAAUGCUGAAGAUCGAGAGCCAUCUGAUUUGGAGAAGUGGUCAGUAGAAUUCCCUGAUCUGCUUGACGUUUUGUUAGCUGAGAGAAGGGUGGAUGAAGCUUUAGCUGCUCUUGAUGAGGGAGAGCGUGUAGCAUCUGAAGCAAAAGAAACAAAAUCAUUGAGUCCUGAUAUACUUUGGUCAUUGCAGACGGCUCUUACAGAGCGCCGGCAGAAGUUAGCUGAUCAGCUCGCUGAAGCUGCUUGCCAACCUUCUACCCAUGGUAGUGAACUUCGUGCAGCUAUAUCAGCUCUUAAAAAGCUUGGGGAUGGCCCUCGAGCCCAUAAUUUACUACUCAAUGCGCAUUUCCAGAGAUAUCAGUACAACAUGCAAAGCCUUCGUCCAUCAAGCACCUCAUAUGGUGGAGCAUAUACUGCUGCACUCUCACAGAUAGUUUUCUCUGCUAUAGCCCAAGCUGCUAGUGAUUCAUUGGCUAUUUUCGGCAAGGAACCAGCUUAUACCUCUGAGCUUGUUAUAUGGGCUACUAAGCAAACAGAGGCUUUUGCUGUUCUUGUUAAAAGACAUGCAUUAGCAUCAUCAGCAGCUGCUGGAGGUUUAAGGGCUGCUGCAGAGUGUGUUCAAAUAGCUUUAGGUCACUGUUCUUUGUUGGAAGCUCGUGGCUUAGCACUUUGUCCUGUGCUCUUAAAACUCUUUAGGCCUAGUGUUGAGCAAGCUUUAGAUGCCAAUUUAAAACGAAUUGAAGAGAGCACUGCUGCUUUGGCUGCUGCUGAUGAUUGGGUAUUAACUUAUCCUCCAACGGCUACUCGACAGUCUGGCAGGUCUUCUGUUGCCUCUCUUGGUAAUACUACAUUCCAACAUAAGCUUACGAGCAGCGCCCAUAGGUUCAAUUUGAUGGUCCAGGACUUCUUUGAGGAUGUAGGACCCCUUUUAAGCAUGCAGUUGGGAAGUCAAUCGCUGGAAGGUUUGUUUCAAGUAUUUAACUCAUAUGUGAACAUGCUGAUAAAAGCAUUACCAGGUUCAAUGGAAGAAGAAGCAAAUUUUGGGGGUUCAGCAAAUAAAAUUGUACGAAUGGCUGAGACUGAAGCCCAGCAGAUUGCAUUGCUAGCCAAUGCAUCAUUAUUGGCUGAUGAGCUACUCCCACGAGCAGCCAUGAAGCUCUCUCCUCUGCAUCAGUCUAAUUACAAGGAUGAUCCUCGUAGAAGACCUUUAGAUAGGCAAAAUCGCCAUCCUGAGCAACGAGAAUGGAGGAAGCGGCUUGUGAGUUCAGUUGAUAGAUUAAAAGAUACUUUCUGUCGACAACAUGCACUUGAUCUCAUUUUUACAGAAGACGGCGACAGUCAUCUUAGUGCAGAAAUGUACAUAAACAUGGAUGGAAAUGUGGAUGAGGUGGAAUGGUUUCCAUCUUUGAUAUUCCAGGAACUUUUCUUAAAACUGAACCGAAUGGCUAGCAUAGCAGCAGAAAUGUUCAUGGGGAGGGAAAGAUUUGCUACAUUACUGUUGAUGAGGCUUACAGAAACAGUUAUAUUAUGGCUAUCAGAAGAUCAAAGCUUUUGGGAUGACAUUGAGGAAGGCCCAAGGCCCUUGGGUCCUCUUGGUCUGCAGCAGUUUUAUUUGGAUAUGAAGUUUGUAAUCUGCUUUGCUUCCCAAGGACGCUACUUAUCAAGGAAUUUGCAUAGAGUCGUCAAUGAGAUCAUUUCUAAAGCUGUGGCAGCAUUCUCUGCUACAGGAAUGGAUCCUGACAGUGUACUGCCAGAAGACGACUGGUUUAAUGAUAUUUGCCAAGAGGCAAUGGAAAGAUUAAGUGGAAAACCGAAAGCUGUUGAUGGAGAUCGGGAACUUAAUAGCCCAACAGCUUCCGUCUCUGCGCAGUCCAUAUCAUCUGUCAGAUCUCAUGGGAGUUCCUAAGGGAAAGGGAAAUGGAGGAGAAUGAACGAGGAUCUCUUCUCAAUUUAUUUGGCUACUAAGGAGAUGAAAGAUGAAGCCAUAAGUGUAGAGAUGGAUUCAAGAGUCAAAAACUUGAAUACUUGAAUCAAUAUGAACAUCAAGAAAAAAAUCAUGAAGUAGUAAAGAUGAGAAGGGUGAUAGAACAUACAAGGGCAAUGCAAAGAGCAUGUGGAGUCAAGAAACUCGUGUAGACAUGAUUUCCAUAGAAUGAAUCGGUUGCUUAAGUUUGAAGAAUAAACUAUACUACUGGGAAGAGUUUAUGAGGAAAAACCAUAUAUAGAUGGAGAGCUGCAUCAUUCUACCUUAAAGAAAAAAAAUUAUAAUAAUUUUUGGAGCUACAAAAAUAGAGUUUCAAAUUUUUGAGUGAAUUAUGCUCAAGUUGUCAGAUUGGACUACAACAUAUGAGAUCAAUUAGAAUUAGUGAUAUUAUUUCUACAAGAGGAAUUUUAAUAUGUCAUUCUCCAGAUUUAUAGCCAUGGGAGUCUAGUUUCACAUGAAAAAGGUCUUACAUCAAUCCGAGGUGUAUGGAAGAUGCAACAGCCAAAAUACUAAAGCAUGUGUGAACUAUCAAGACUAGAUGAGCAAUAAAAUAUUUUGAUUUUUUUGAAGUAUGAAGAUUGCUGAUUUUGGGGUUUCCAAAAAUUACAAUGUUGUAGUGGAUUGACCAAAAUUUCUAAAAAAAAGGGUUUACUAUUCGGAGUUAUAUAGCUCAAGAUUUUGAGUUUCUAAAUGGUAGUGCCCGUGAUUGAAAAGUAAAAAAUCCACAGAAGCAUUCAGGUCCAAUAUUUCCAACUGUGAAAGAAGCCAUUCAUAGCCAUGAAGAAAUCUUCUCAGCCGUGAAGAAGACUUUCACACCCAUGAAUUAUGGCAAAUCUCCAGAAUUUUCAGGAAAUCAUAGUAGAGGUCACGACCAAAGUUCACAGCUGUAAAAGAAGAAUUCCCAGCCGUGAAGAAUUGUUCAUGACCAUGACGGGUUUCAGUUUUUCAAAUAUAUUUUUCACAUUGAUGCUUCACGGCCAUGAAGGAUUUUUUCCACCCGUGAAGCUGCAUUUAUAAAAGCUGUUACAACGACUAAAUUUGCAUUUAAUAAGGGUAUAACAACUCUAUUUAACCUAGAACUAUUUAAACAUCAUUUCUAAUGGUUCUAGGUCAAGCAAGAGCAUUUACUUGAGCCUCAUAUUUGUUAUAUCUCUCAACAGCCUCUAUUUCUUCAUUAAAUUUUUCUUAUAUUGAAGAUUCAAGAGAGGGCUUGAAUCAUUUAGUAGUUGAGUGAUUGAUUUUUAUAUUCAAAGCUCAAAAGAGUUAGGUUGAGCACUUGUGUAAGAGAUUAAUUGCUCUUGUAACUAAGUUUAAAAAUCUUAGAUUGGGUUAGAGUGUGAGCCUUAAGAAAACACUUGAUUUGAGUGUUAGCCAUUGAAACACUUAUAAGAAGUUUGAGAGUGAGUUUGAAAACACUUGGGUUUGAUCUUACACCCAUAAAAGGAUCAUUGAUAGUGAAAAUCUCAAGUGAAGCUUGAAGAGUGGAUGUAGGCAAGGAGUUGGCCAAACCACUAUAAA